ensembl:lncRNA
CCUAGGAACAACCCUUGGUCUUGUUUCAGGGCCAUGUUGUCCUGGCACCUGUAAACAGAAAAGAAACAAGUCAAAGAUUAAAUAUAACUGGGUGGCUAAAAGUAGAUCAGGGAAGCAGGGAAGCAAGUGGUGUUUAUUACUCAGCUAUGACAGCACCUGCAGGCUUGUGUUUGAAAAGAGUAUGGAGAGCAUCUGCACCUCCAACAGCACCUGGAGCAACUGCAAGCAAGCAGGCUUAGCUGUGAAGGAAGGGAGCAGGCACGACACAACAGUGACACUGCUUGGCAGCAAGGAACAGAGAGGAGCUGAACCAGGACCCUCCGAAUGACAGCUGUGCUGACAAGCAGUCCUUGGAAGUGUGCGAGGAAAUGAUACGUGCCUGGCAGUCUUGCUGCUGCUCCUCCACUGCUGUGCCCUCUGUGCUGAAGAUCAUAAUGAAAUCCUAAGCAGGCAGAGAACCUCCUAAAAACAGUUCCUCUGGCAUCUCAUAUUGAUUUAGCAGCAUGGAGAAUUGAGCCCAGUGUUGGAAGCUCAGCACCAUCAUUGGAGCAGCAGCUGGACUUAUUGCUCACACAGUUCUCAGACCUCUCCUUGGCCGCUUCUUUUCACGGCAGUUUCUCUUGCUGUGUCAGAUCUGCGGUAAAUUAUAUUGCUAAUCUUUCAGACUGUGCCUCUGUGUACAAAAUGCUUCCUCUCUGCUGACAACUUGCCUGCAAGGGAUUUGUGCUGCAGAGCUUGGAAAAAAAAAAAAUAGAAAAAACAGAAGAGAGAAGUGUUCCUGUUCCCCUUUGUCCGCGUGCUAAAUGAGUGUGCGGCACUCUGCCGGCCCGGCUGCACAAAAGGGCCUUUCUCCGUGCUCGGCCCUGGAGCUGUUCCUGCGCUGUUCCCACUGCUCCACUCACUGGAUGCCAUUCAAGGAACAAAUUGGGAUUUCACCUUUUGCACCAUCCAUGCAGAGAUGUCUGUGGCUUUUUCCACAUGAAGUUGCUGGCAACAAAAAUGAGCUUCGUGACAGGAAGGAGGAGUUUGCUUGAACAAAAGCAGGGUGAGACCAGCUGAAAUACUUCACCAGCUUUCAGGCACUGACCUUGGCUGGAAAUGUGGACCCACUGGAGAGAAUUUAGAGAGCAGUAAAAUGAACAUGAGGGUCAGGAAAUGAGGAAAGGUUGAGAGCAGUGGGUAUGCUUAAUCUAGAAAAUGAAACAUUUAGUAAGGAACACGAGAAGUUUUCCAUUAUAUAAAAGGUUGCUAUUUGAGAAGAUAAAGAUCAGUUGUUCUUCUUGAUUCUUUAGGAAGAGCAGAAUGAAAUCAGAAUUAUUUUUGCUUCCUCUGCAAUUAAAAAGUCUCAGACUGGAUACUGUGUAAAGUAUGUCCUAUGCUGAAGUAGUAAUACUCCUACCAGACUGCUUGAGGAUGUAUAACAUCCUCAUUUCUUAUUAGUUUGUUACCAGAAAUCUCAAUGGCUAAAACAUGUUUAUGAAACACUAACUUUGCUUUUCGGAAGUUCGUGAAGUGCCUUCGGGACACACAGGGCUACUGAGUAAUUUCUAGAUAAAAUGAACAAAGAUGUUUUGUUCCUAACAAUAUGUGCUUCUAAUUAUCUUGAGAGCACUGUCGGAGUGGCUCACCCUUUCAGAACUAAUUCUGAUACUGAGCUUUAGAGAGAAUUAGACGUGCUACAGUCCAGUCAACACAAGGAAAGUAACUUGGAAAAUUAAAAACUCCUAAGGAAGUUAAACAAGGGAAAUGAUUGAUUAUGUGGUUAAUGAAAAGAAUGUCUGAAGAUGCUGUAGGAAGAAGAAACAGUUGCGGGCAUGUGACAAAGUGACCUCGACAAAGCUAUGCAUGCAGGUGAUGAAGAAAAAUCUUCCUAACAGAGAGCUGUAAAAGAGCUGGGUGGAAGCAGGAGAGUGGGCAGAUUAAAGCAGUGGCAGAUGAAGUGUAGGAGGCAGCAAAGAAAAGCUGCAAAAUACAUGAGGAUGAAGGAAAGGUUUUCCUUCCCACUUCCUUACGUUACAAGAUAGGCCUGCUUGAAAGAACUGAAAAAGAAAACAGAAAAUAUUCUUCAGCCUUGAGAUGCCUUGUAUGGUUCCUGAGGAAGACAUAGUGUCAUCAGAAACCACUACCUCACUCCAGGAAUGCCUGUUCGGAUAUACUUCUGGAUACCACAAACCGUAUCUGGAGCUCACGUUCCUAACCCUGUAGCUACCUGUGUGUACACAGAAAAGUCUUGCAUGUUAUUUCUAUGCCUCUGUUGAAUCCUGAAUUUGCAGUUUAAUGAUUCCAUUCCUUCAUUUUAAUUUCGUUAGCUCUAUUACUGCAUGUGUUUCUCCCUUGCUAAAGUUACAAGAUGACUGGUGACCUUGCCUUAAAAUGCGUAAGUGACAUAACCACCAUACUACUUCUUUGGUACGUAUCUCUUAUUCUAGAAUUGGAGCAGGUGCUUCGCUUUUUAAAUCUAACAGCUACAUAUAUGUAAACACUAGCUAUAUAUAUAUAUAU